rnacentral:rRNA from 1 species
UACGGAGGGUGCGAGCGUUAAUCGGAAUUACUGGGCGUAAAGGGUGCGUAGGUGGUUUGAUAAGUUAUCUGUAAAAGCCCUGGGCUCAACCUGGGAAGGCCAGAUAAAACUGUUGAACUAGAGUAUGGGAGAGGGUAGUGGAAUUUCCGGUGUAGCGGUGAAAUGCGUAGAGAUCGGAAGGAACACCAGUGGCGAAGGCGGCUACCUGGCCUGAUACUGACACUGAAGCACGAAAGCGUGGGGAGCAAACAGGAUUAGAUACCCUGGUAGUCCACGCCGUAAACGAUGUCAACUAGCUGUUGGUCAUAUGAAUGUGAUUAGUGGCGAAGCUAACGCGAUAAGUUGACCGCCUGGGGAGUACGAUCGCAAGAUUA